rnacentral:rRNA from 1 species
CCUACGGGAGGCAGCAGUAGGGAAUUUUCCACAAUGGGCGAAAGCCUGAUGGAGCAACGCCGCGUGGGUGAAGAAGGUCUUCGGAUCGUAAAACUCUGUUGUUAGAGAAGAAAGUGCGUGAGAGCAACUGUUCACGUUUCGACGGUAUCUAACCAGAAAGCCACGGCUAACUACGUGCCAGCAGCCGCGGUAAUACGUAGGUGGCAAGCGUUAUCCGGAUUUAUUGGGCGUAAAGGGAACGCAGGCGGUCUUGUAAGUCUGAUGUGAAAGCCUUCGGCUUAACCGGAGUAGUGCAUUGGAAACUGGGGGACUUGAGUGCAGAAGAGGAGAGUGGAACUCCUUGUGUAGCGGUGAAAUGCGUAGAUAUAUGGAGGAACACCAGUGGCGAAGGCGGCUCUCUGGUCUGUAACUGACGCUGAGGUUCGAAAGCGUGGGUAGCAAACAGGAUUAGAUACCCGUGUAGUC